rnacentral:tRNA from 1 species
ACCUGGCUGGCUCAUUCGGUAGAGUAUGCGACUCUUGAUCUCAGGGUUGUGAGUUCAAGCCCCACGUCGGGUG